rnacentral:rRNA from 1 species
GAAGGUGGCCUGUGAGGGUUGCUGGAGGUAUCAGAAGUGCGAAUGCUGACAUAAGUAACGAUAAAGCGGGUGAAAAGCCCGCUCGCCGGAAGACCAAGGGUUCCUGUCCAACGUUAAUCGGGGCAGGGUGAGUCGACCCCUAAGGCGAGGCCGAAAGGCGUAGUCGAUGGGAAACGGGUUAAUAUUCCCGUACUUGGUGUUACUGCGAAGGGGGGACGGAGAAGGCUAUGUUGGCCGGGCGACGGUUGUCCCGGUUUAAGCGUGUAGGCUGGUUUUCCAGGCAAAUCCGGAAAAUCAAGGCUGAGGCGUGACGACGAGGCACUACGGUGCUGAAGCAACAAAUGCCCUGCUUCCAGGAAAAGCCUCUAAGCAUCAGGUAACAUCAAAUCGUACCCCAAACCGACACAGGUGGUCAGGUAGAGAAUACCAAGGCGCUUGAGAGAACUCGGGUGAAGGAACUAGGCAAAAUGGUGCCGUAACUUCGGGAGAAGGCACGCUGACAUGUAGGUGAAGUGAUUUACUCAUGGAGCUGAAGUCAGUCGAAGAUACCAGCUGGCUGCAACUGUUUAUUAAAAACACAGCACUGUGCAAACACGAAAGUGGACGUAUACGGUGUGACGCCUGCCCGGUGCCGGAAGGUUAAUUGAUGGGGUCAGCGCAAGCGAAGCUCCUGAUCGAAGCCCCGGUAAACGGCGGCCGUAACUAUAACGGUCCUAAGGUAGCGAAAUUCCUUGUCGGGUAAGUUCCGACCUGCACGAAUGGCGUAAUGAUGGCCAGGCUGUCUCCACCCGAGACUCAGUGAAAUUGAACUCGCUGUGAAGAUGCAGUGUACCCGCGGCAAGACGGAAAGACCCCGUGAACCUUUACUAUAGCUUGACACUGAACAUUGAGCCUUGAUGUGUAGGAUAGGUGGGAGGCUUUGAAGUGUGGACGCCAGUCUGCAUGGAGCCGACCUUGAAAUACCACCCUUUAAUGUUUGAUGUUCUAACGUGGACCCGUUACCCGGGUUGCGGACAGUGUCUGGUGGGUAGUUUGACUGGGGCGGUCUCCUCCUAAAGAGUAACGGAGGAGCACGAAGGUUGGCUAAUCCUGGUCGGACAUCAGGAGGUUAGUGCAAUGGCAUAAGCCAGCUUGACUGCGAGCGUGACGGCGCGAGCAGGUGCGAAAGCAGGUCAUAGUGAUCCGGUGGUUCUGAAUGGAAGGGCCAUCGCUCAACGGAUAAAAGGUACUCCGGGGAUAACAGGCUGAUACCGCCCAAGAGUUCAUAUCGACGGCGGUGUUUGGCACCUCGAUGUCGGCUCAUCACAUCCUGGGGCUGAAGUAGGUCCCAAGGGUAUGGCUGUUCGCCAUUUAAAGUGGUACGCGAGCUGGGUUUAGAACGUCGUGAGACAGUUCGGUCCCUAUCUGCCGUGGGCGCUGGAGAACUGAGGGGGGCUGCUCCUAGUACGAGAGGACCGGAGUGGACGCAUCACUGGUGUUCGGGUUGUCAUGCCAAUGGCACUGCCCGGUAGCUAAAUGCGGAAGAGAUAAGUGCUGAAAGCAUCUAAGCACGAAACUUGCCCCGAGAUGAGUUCUCCCUGAGACUUUAGGUCUCCUGAAGGAACGUUGAAGACGACGACGUUGAUAGGCCGGGUGUGUAAGCGCAGCGAUGCGUUGAGCUAACCGGUACUAAUGAACCGUGAGGCUUAACCUUACAACGCCGAAG